CCUGGGCGUGGUGGCGUAGAGGGUUAAGAACGCGGCAACCAUCGAAUGAGUGUAUGGGUGCCGGGUUCGAAACUCAUUACGUUAUCACGCCCGGGGAUCCCUACACCCGGUUUGACGUGGUGUGGGGUCGUUUGGGGGGGCCCCCCUCCCCCCUUUCGGCUCUCCUCCGCGCCUCCCCGACGUGUCUGCACGGGGAUCAUUUACUCCCCACUAUUAACAGCUGGGGUCAUGAAUAGAACUGUAAACCGCUGGCCUUUUCAAAAAGUAUCGUGUGUCUACCUGGUCAAAAACAAUUUGCGUGUUUGUGGCAAGUUUAGUUCGGAGCUUGUUAUGAUGAUGCUAACGACGAAACGUCUUGAUGAGAAGGAAGGUCUCGCGCGAGUCGGCGGCAAGAGUACGAGCGUCGUCAUGCGCGGGUCCUUUCAAUCAAGAAACGUCGGCGUUGGUGGAGCGUUGCGCUGUUUUGUCGGUGAAAUGUGUGAUCGCAUGGAAGAUUUUGGACGCCUGUAAAAUGUUCGACCGAAGUCAAGAAGCUGGAGUGUUUGUGUGUUACUUGAGUCGGCGACGCUAAGCGUCAAAAACAGGGGUCGGUCGGUCGGUGGAGUGCAAAGAAGUGACCGAACGCCAAGGUGGUGGAGCGUUGCGUUGUUUUGUCUGCCGUAUGGAAGAUUUUGGACGCCUGUAACACGACAAAGAGUAUCAACGGAUGUGGUGACCCAGCUGAGCGAGCUGCUGAACGUCACGCAGGCGUCGCUGUCCAAACUGAUGUCCGAGGAGCCGUCGGAGUGGAAGCAGCGGCACCAGAUCGCCUGCAUCGGCAGUCCGCCCAACGCCUGCCAACUGUCAGGUUCCUGGUGCAGGAGUUCAACCACCAGCCCUCAUGGGAUGUCACAGAGAAGAAAGGGGA